CACGCAUUGUGAGAGCAACAACAACAACAACAACAAAUAUGGCGGAAUCUGUAUUGUCAAACACGGAAGAAGAAGGAUACAACCAUAAUUAAACCAAGAAGUUUAUGAAGAAGGGAUCACUGGAUUUUGUCACUUUGGUACAAGAAACAGAAAAGGAUAUCAUAGACCACCUUACUUAUACGGAAGCAUAGGAGCUGUUGAAGGAAAUUGCUGCCAGACAGUCAGCAGUUAUCACUGACAGCCUGUCCUGGCCCAGCUUGGACCAUCCUCAAGCUAACCAUGAUGGUGUGUUUGCAAGAAUUGUCCAUUUGGUAGACCAUGAUGAAGACCAGCUUUGUUGUGGCAUGGCCUGACAAUACUGUACAAGCCAGAGACCAAAAAAGGGUUAAGUGGUGACUGAUCCUCUCACCCUCCUUAUCCAGGAAACAGUUCGGAACAACGUGUUGGCACUGAAGAUGUGGAGGACACAGAUUGAUCACAGUACAUCCUUUGGAUACAUGGACACCUUCAACGUGACGACAACAAAACUGUACCUGCCUUUUUUUGAAAGGAAGUAGUUAAUAAAAUUAUUGUUAACAGCUUUUUUAGUCUUGUUGUUUAAGAAUGCCUGCAACAUUUAAGUGGAUAAACGGUUGUUUUAAAUUUGAAUCUUCAGUAAUGCAUUCUUUAUUUAAUGAUGUAAUCUUAUUUCUUUCAAUAUAGUGUAAAUAAUAAGAACAUAAUUAUCCUUUGUAUACAAAAUGAAAACCAAGUUUACUGUUCUAUUAAUCAUUAUUUAUUUAUCUUGUUCUUUUGUCAGAAAUAUUACAGGGGCAUACAUACAGUAUUCCUUGAAUAAAAGGGGCAGUUCUUAGAAAAUUAACAUGUAUUUUAGCAAUGCAUAUUCAAACUUUUUCCACAUUUAUAACCAGCAACAAUAUGUAAGUAGUAUAAUGUAACACAAAUUAAUACUAUGAAUUUACUACUGAUUUUGCCGUGCCUGUCAUCAAACAUGUUUGACUGAAAGUUUCUUAAAAGAUGUUAUGUGGAAGACUUAAUCAAUCAUUUAAUAAAUAUUUGAGCCACGCUCUGGGAAAAGGGGGUUUAAUGCAUGUACUUAAGGUUGUCCAAGAUUAGGCUGUGCAGACUGCACAGGCUAAUCAGGGGCAACACUUUCCGCCUUAUCUGGAUUUUCUCUAAGAGACUCCAUUUCAACAAAAAAUACAAUAAAGCAGCAAUUGUCUGCCUGAUUGGUAUGAUCGGCACAUGUUAAUCUCGUACGACAAUUUACGCACAUGCAUUAAGCCCCAUUUUCCCAGGGCAAGGCUCACCUAUUUAGGUUUUAGCUGUCUAUAUGCUCUUUAACUUUUGAAUCAUGAUGCAGUUUCAUAUAAUAAUGUAUUAUGAGUUGUUUUUAAUUGAUGCAUAUUCUUUUGUUCAGUGUUGAACUCAACAUGUAUUAUAAUAAGGUGUUCACUUAACAUUCUUGCAGUAAUGUUUUGCUGUGUAGUAUACAUGUAAUAAUAAAUCAAAAUUGAACAACUA